rnacentral:rRNA from 1 species
UGUCGUCAGCUCGUGUUGUGAAAUGUUGGGUUAAGUCCCGCAACGAGCGCAACCCUUAUCCUUUGUUGCCAGCGGUCCGGCCGGGAACUCAAAGGAGACUGCCAGUGAUAAACUGGAGGAAGGUGGGGAUGACGUCAAGUCAUCAUGGCCCUUACGACCAGGGCUACACACGUGCUACAAUGGCGCAUACAAAGAGAAGCGACCUCGCGAGAGCAAGCGGACCUCAUAAAGUGCGUCGUAGUCCGGAUUGGAGUCUGCAACUCGACUCCAUGAAGUCGGAAUCGCUAGUAAUCGUGGAUCAGAAUG